rnacentral:tRNA from 1 species
UCCAUAGUGGUCCAAUGGUUAGGACUCUGCCUUCCAAGCAGGGGUCACAGGUUCAAUCCCUGGUCAGUGAA